rnacentral:lncRNA from 1 species
UCCUCACACCUCUCAUCCAUUACUGACCCUCACAAGAAAACACCAUUAAUCCUUAUAGAGCACUCAUCUUCAGGAAUUCCAUUUUUUUUACUGAAAAACGAACACCCACCAUUGACACUUGCACACACACAUUCACGGAUAGGGGAAGACACCCAGCUGAUUUUCACACAAAAAUCCUAGACCCCCAUCUACACUCACCAG